UGAGCAAUCUGCCCUUCACAUCGGAAUAACCAUUGGAAACGAUGGCUAAUACCGAAUAUGACUUCGGAUCGCAUGAUCUGAAGUGGAAAGCUCCGGCGGUGAAGGAUGAGCUCGCGGCCUAUCAGCUUGUUGGUGAGGUAAUAGCUCACCAAGGCGAUGGACGGGUAGCCGGCCUGAGAGGGUGACCGGCCACACUGGGACUGAGACACCGGCACGA
rnacentral:rRNA from 1 species